rnacentral:miRNA from 1 species
ACACACACACACACACACACACACACACACAUAUAUGUAUGUAUAUAUAUAUGUAUGUGUAUAUAUAUAUGUAUGUGUGUAU